rnacentral:rRNA from 1 species
AUUGAACGCUGGCGGCAGGCCUAACACAUGCAAGUCGAACGAGUGGCGGACGGGUGAGUAAUGUCUGGGAAACUGCCUGAUGGAGGGGGAUAACUACUGGAAACGGUAGCUAAUACCGCAUACCAUCAGAUGUGCCCAGAUGGGAUUAGCUUGUGGGUGGGGUAACGGCUCACCAAGGCGACGAUCCCUAGCUGGUCUGCGAGGAUGACCAGCAACACUGGAACGGAGCCACGGUCAAGCCUCCUACGGGAGGCAGUAGUGGGGAAUAUUGGACAAUGGGCGCAAGCCUGAUAAAGCCAUGCCGCGUGUAUGAAGAAGGCCUUCGGGUUGUAAAGUACUUUCAGCGGGGAGGCGUUACCCGCAGAAGAAGCACCGGCUAACUCCGUGCCAGCAGCCGCGGUAAUAC